UGAGUAACCUGCCCUUAACUCUGGGAUAAGCCUGGGAAACUGGGUCUAAUACCGGAUAUGACUCCUCAUCGCAUGGUGGGGGGUGGAAAGCUUUUUGUGGUUUUGGAUGGACUCGCGGCCUAUCAGCUUGUUGGUGAGGUAAUGGCUCACCAAGGCGACGACGGGUAGCCGGCCUGAGAGGGUGACCCGGCCACACUGUGACUGAGACACGGCCCAGACCUCCCGUACGGGGAGGCAG
rnacentral:rRNA from 1 species